UAUCUCUGUAGAGUCUGCAUAUCAAUAAGCGGAGGAAAAGAAACUAACAUAGGAUUCCCCUCAGUAACGGCGAGUGAAGCGGGAAGAGCUCAAAUUUGAAAUCUUCAAGGUUCUACCUUGACGAAUUGUAGUUUAAAGAAGUGUUUUCGGUUAGAGGAGUUUAGGUAAAAGUUCUUUGGAAUAGGACAUCAUAGAGGGUGAGAAUCCCGUAUUUGACCAUUAUUUCUCAGCUUUGUGAUACACUUUCAAAGAGUCGGAUUGUUUGGGAAUGCAGUCCAAAAUGGGUGGUAAAUUUCAUCUAAAGCUAAAUAUUGGCGAGAGACCGAUAGCGAACAAGUACCGUGAGGGAAAGAUGAAAAGAACUUUGAAAAGAGAGUUAAACAGUACGUGAAAUUGUCAAAAGGGAAGCGUUUGACACCAGUGUUGUUUUCUCGAAAAUCAAUUAAGAAUGCUGUAUUUUGUGUUAGUAUUGACUUUAUCAGGCUUUCUGCACUUUUUUCCUGUAACUUUUUUAAUGCACUUUUCGGUUAACAAGUCGACAUCAAUUUCUUUUGUUGUAAAAGAGGUCAUUGAGGAAGGUGGCUUUCUUUUCGGAGAAAGUGUUUAUAGCCUUUGUACUUCUGCAAUCGGAGAGGAUUGAGGUCUGCAGCGUAGAUCCUUCGGGGUUAGAUACAUUUGUGCUAAGUUAUAGCCUUUUCAUAGACAACAUUGUUGACUAUGAUCAAUCAUGUAGCUUACUCGCUUAUGUCUAUUUUACCUACGCUUAGGAUGUUGAGUAGCGACAUACGCAC
rnacentral:rRNA from 1 species